UUGGGGAGUGAGAAUGCAGACAUGAGUAGCGAGAGGCGGGUGCGAAUCCCGCCCGCUGGAUGACCAAGGGUUCCGGGGCCACGUUCGUCGUCCCCGGGUGAGUCGGGUCCUAAGGCGAGGCCGACAGGCGUAGUCGAAUGGAUGAACGGGCUGAUAUUCCCGUACCGGCAGCGAACCGAAACAACCGAGGCCUGGGGCGCUAACCUCCGGGUCCGUGCCGUCUCCCCUUUCGGGGGGUCGCGGCGCGGGCGCGUUGGGAUCCCCCCUCGUAGUAGGUCAGCGCAGGAGUGACGCAUCAGGGCAGCCGGCCGCGGAGGUGGUUUUCCGUGGUCAAGCGUUCGAGCCCGUCCCGCAGGCAAAUCCGCGGGCGUCGGGGCGAGGCGUGAUGAUGGGGGCCUUACGGCCCGAAUCCGGUGAUCCGUGGUGCCGAGAAAAGCUUCGGCGUCAGGCGCGUUGCCGCCCGUACCCCAAACCGACACUGGUGGUCAGGUAGAGAAUACCAAAGCGAUCGAGCGAAUCCUGGUCAAGGAACUCGGCAAAUUGCUCCCGUGCCUUCGGCAUAAGGGAGACCCCCUGCGGUGAUGAGCGGCGGGGGGUGGCACAGGCCAGGGGGUGGCGACUGUUUACCAAAAACACAGGAGCGUGUGAAGGCGCAAGCCGCUGUAUACGCUCUGACGCCUGCCCGGUGCCGGAAGGUUAAGAGGAUCCGUCAGCUUUCUGCGAAGCGGUGAAUUCAAGCCCCGGUAAACGGCGGUGGUAACGAUAACCAUCCUAAGGUAGCGAAAUUCCUUGUCGGGUAAGUUUCGACCUGCACGAAUGGCGUAACGACUUCCCCACUGUCUCGACCAGGAGCUCGGCGAAAUUGCAGUACGAGUAAAGAUGCUCGUUAAGCGCAGAAGGACGAAGAGACCCCGGGACCUUUACUAUACCUUGGUAUUGGCAUUAGGCGCGGAUUGUGUAGCAUAGGCGGGAGGCUUCGAGGCGGGUGCGCCAGCAUCCGCGGAGCCGCAAGGUGAAAUACCGCUCCGUUCUCGUUUGAUGUCUAACCUCGAACAGUCAUCCUGUUCAGGGACAGUGCCUGGCGGGUAGUUCAACUGGGGCGGUUGCCUCCCAAAGAGUAACGGAGGCGCUCAAAGGUCCGCUCGGCCCGGUUGGCAAUCGGGUGUCGAGUGUAAUCGCACAAGCGGGCUUGACUGCGAGAUCGACGGAUCGAGCAGGGACGAAAGUCGGAGAUAGUGAUCCGGUGCCGGCGCACGGGCGCGGCAUCGCUCAACGGAUAAAAGGUACCCCGGGGAUAACAGGCUGAUCAUUCCCAAGAGUCCAUAUCGACGGGAUGGUUUGGCACCUCGAUGUCGGCUCGUCGCAUCCUGGGGCUGGAGCAGGUCCCAAGGGUUCGGCUGUUCGCCGAUCAAAGCGGCACGCGAGCUGGGUUCAGAACGUCGUGAGACAGUUUGGUCUCUAUCCUCUGCGCUCGUUGGAAUCUUGAGGAGGCCCGCCCAUAGUACGAGAGGACCUGGGUGGACGAACCUCUGGUAUGCCGGUCGUCACGCCAGUGGCGCGGCCGGUUGCUACGUUCGGAAGGGAUAACCGCUGAAAGCAUCUAAGCGGGAAGCCUUCUCCAAGAUAAGGAUUCCAUGCGGCCCCGAGCCGCUGAAGACCCCAUGCAGAACACGUGGUCGAUAGGCCGGACGUGGAAGCCCCGCGAGGGGUGGAGCCGACCGGUACUAAUGGUCGAGAGGC
rnacentral:rRNA from 1 species